GAAUUUUCCGCAAUGGGCGAAAGCCUGACGGAGCAAUACCGCGUGAGGGAUGACGGCCUAUGGGUUGUAAACCUCUUUUUUCAGGGAGGAAUCAAUGACGUGUACCUGAAGAAUAAGCAUCGGCUAACUCCGUGCCAGCAGCCGCGGUAAGACGGAGGAUGCAAGUGUUAUCCGGAAUCACUGGGCGUAAAGCGUCUGUAGGUGGUCAAAUAAGUCAACUGUUAAAUCUUGAGGCUCAACCUCAAAAUCGCAGUCGAAACUAUUAGACUAGAGUAUAGUAGGGGUAAAGGGAAUUUCCAGUGGAGCGGUGAAAUGCGUAGAGAUUGGAAAGAACACCGAUGGCGAAGGCACUUUACUGGGCUAUUACUGACACUCAGAGACGAAAGCUAGGGUAGCAAAUGGGAUUAGAUACCCCAGUAGUC
rnacentral:rRNA from 1 species